CGUGAUGAUUUCAUCUGUAGACCAAUAAUCUGAAAAGAAGAUUUGAUUCACACACUCACUGGGAAGUAAAGCAACAGAGAGCCACACAAGAUCAUCUCCAGCAGCAAAAGCCCGGAUGAUCGGAUCCGCUGAGAGAUAGAAAGACGGAGAGGGGAAGCAGAGCAUGCUGAGAAGAACAAGGACCAUGAAGAGGCCCUGCACAGCCAGGACGGCCGUCCUCAGGAGCCAGUCUUCCUGCACCCAACAUGGGGCUCCAUCCUUACACUCAUCACAGCCGGGCCAACAGGGCAGACACACAGGGACUUCUGGGUAACAAGCUUGGUAACCCUUUUUACAUCGGCAGCAGUACUGACCCAUCCGGAAGCCCUGUUGCGGGAUGGACUCACACUGAGAGGAUGAGAAAGAAAGAGACACAAAGUCA